GGACGGCCCCGCCGCCGCCGCACGUAGCGCGGCCUCGUCGUCUUCCCGCCAAUCGUAGGCCUCGAACCCCGCCGCGGCGCUCGGCGGGCGAGGAGGGCAGUGACUUCCGGGGCGCCCGAGGACGGUUCUUCCCGCCCCCACGCUCUGGCGUCCGACGGGCGGGGCCGGAGCGAUGACGAAGUCUGGCCUGGCUGUAAUGCUGGAAGGAACGGUUCUAUGGACAGAUGAAGGUGGUGAUGAGGCAAAGCCUGCGACCAACAACCGGUCUACGUUUGCCAGGCAUGUGCAUGUGUCAUGUUGAAAGUCCAGUCUUCAGCCCUGCCCUGACUACCAUCUUGAUUGCAAUGUCUAAGAAACGUUGGAUUCAGUCUAAGCCACUGCUGGAUUCUUGGCCACAGAAACUAAUACAUAAGGGAAGUUGGAGUCUCUAUCUUGUGAACCUAUGGUGGAGAGUGAUACAUAAUCACUAUGAGAACAGUCUGUGCGGUAACGGAGAAUGCCAGCCUGCACCAAAUGGAGUGUGGGCAAACCACCAGGCCUCACCUCCCAUACUGCCCUCACAGAUGUCUAGUAAACAUGAUUUUGCUGUGUAUCCCAGACUUGCCUUGAACUUACUACAGACAGCCCUAUUGCUUCAGCCUUCCUGGACACUGGUGUUGCAAGAUCACUGGCCUGCCCAGCUUACAGUGUAAGGAGUACCUGAGGCCUCUGAAGAAGUUCCUGCGAAAGCUGAACCUGCCCAAGGACCUUCCCCAGAAGAAGCGGGUCAAGUUUACAAAGCGGAGCCUGGAGGCCCUGGGGGACCACAUCAACACCUUCCUGCAGCAUUACUGCCGGGCCUGGGAGAUGAAGCACUGGAAAAAGUCGCGUUCUGUCCCUUGGAUGCACCAGAGAGAUCCUUGCUGGCCAGCCAGGAGGACAGUCUCCCCAGACUCUGCAGCGCCUGGGGCUUGCAUGGAAACAUCAGCGGCAUGAAGGAGAGGCUGUCCAAGAUGCAGGCCCCCGGCCAAGAGGCUGGCAUGCUGGAGGAGCCAAGGUCCUCAAGAGGAGGUGAUGUCCACUGGGUGUCAGGGGAGGCACCAGGGUGAGGGGCUGCAGAGAAGUUCGGGGGUUCUCAGGUUCUCCGAUCCUGCCAAGUCCUCUUCCUGUCUACUGCCUCUUCCUUCUCUGUUGUUCCUUCUGUCCUUUCCUUUGCCUUCUUCGGUCUCUUUGCUGUUUGUAGCUCCUCCCCAGAUAUACUCAUUAUAGAAUCUUUAAAAUAGGCAGAUAAAUGUGGAGAAAAGGAACAGAAAAGUUACCCAAUACCCAGAGGUCAGCACUGUUGGCGUUUAGUGCGGUUUUCCCAGUGUUCUGUGUAACGCCCCCUGCAGAGUCAUAGUGCAUACCUUUUGAAUCCAGCCUUUUUUAGUUAACAUGGUGUAAAGGCCCUUUCUCACAUGACUAGAAGCAGGGUGGAAACAGUUUCUAAGUGCUGAGCUAUGGACCCUCAGGAGGUGCUGGGUAGCAGUGGCAGGAUGCCCACUCUGAUGGAGUGGAAUAAAGGGAAAAGGAAAGAGACUCAGUCUCACAGUGAGCUAGGUGGCGUGGGAAUGGUCUUUCCAGCCACUUUGGCCUCUGUGCUGACCAAAAUGUCUGGUUCUCUGCAUGGGGUUAUGGGCUUAGGAUAUGGUGCCUUUUAAAUGAAAAGAGGCCGGGUAAAGGUUAGAACCGUGAGGGUUCCUGCUCUACACUAAGGCACAGAGAGACUUGGCGUGCAUCUACCUACACUUCUGUGCCCAGGCUUCUGUGCCACGGUUAGCUGCCCCUCCUUGGCUACUGUUGAGGAAGGUAAAAGGCAAGCAUGGUGGCCUGGAGAACUCAGAGUGUAGUCCUAACAGGGACGACCUUGAACUCUGAGCCCACUGUCCACACCUUGCCCGUGUUAGGAUAACAGGCUGCCACCUGAUUUCUGUGGUGCUGAGGAGGAUCAAACCCAUGGCUUCAUGAGAGCUAGGCAAGGAUUCUACCCACUGAGGCACCUCUGCAACCUACUUUCUAGUUAUUAUUAUAACAUAAAAAAUUAAAAGCAGAUAAAUAAAAAUAGGGAGAUAUAAACAUCACAUUGUUGUCACCCACCCUUGCACUGUUAACACUUUACAGAUCAGUUAUGAAUGUAAAUACAUACUUUAACAAAAAUGAGACUAUGCUGCCUAUGUGAUUUUGAUCUUAACUUGAUUUGUGUUUGGGAGCACUUCUCCAACUUCAGUUUUGGAGAUAAGGGUCUCUCACUGAAUCUGAGCUCACUGAUUGGCUGGACUGGCUGAUUAAGAUGCCGGGAUCUUCCAGUCUCUACCUCCCCGCGGUGGAAUCCCAUGUGUGCCAUAACCGUGUUCUACGUGGAUGCCGAGGACCCAAACCAGGGCCUUGUUCUUGCGUGGCAAGUGCUUUACUGUGAGCUGUCCCCCUGCACUUGCGUGUAAGUGCCCGCACGCAUUUACAUACCACAUACACGUCGGAGCCUGUCGUGGUCAGAAGAGGGCAUCUGAUUCCCUGGAACUAGAGUUACAGGCAGUUGUGAACCCCUGUGUGGGUAUUGGGAACCAAACCCAGGUCCUCUGGAAGAGCAGCCAGCACGCCUAACCACUGAGCCAUCUCUCCAGCCCUCUGAACUUGCUUUUUUAAAAUGAAUGGCAUCAGUCUUUCCAGGCCAGCGUUUCACUUUGUGGAAUUGGAUAAUUGAACAUUCCAGAGGUAACUGUUGAGAUGGCCUCUCAUGCCAGGUACUCCACCUGGUUAUGUCUUAGCCUAACAAGCCUUUUUAUCCGACUUUUGGGAGAGAUCGGGCCAUUGUCAGAAUCUCCCACAGUCUGAUUUUCCUCCCUAUUACUUCCUUUUGGCAUCUUCUAACUUAUUUCUUUACCUAUAAACAGACUUUAGAUAGAAAGUCUUGAUAAUGAGUCUCUCUCUCUCUCUCUCUCUC